rnacentral:ncRNA from 1 species
ACCAGCCCGGAUGAACCGGGCCCGGACGAGGGAGCCGUACCCGGUGCUGCGACAAGACGGCCAGA